UAACUGUUCGUUUCGAGACAGACAGCUGUUUAGGAGGACUUCUGUAUAUUUAACACUAUUUUGGGGGGUGGGAAGAGGAAGAAUGAAAGAGGCCUUCCAACGGAGUGGUCGUAAACAUGAACGGUGCACUUUACAUUUCGUUUUUCCAAGGCCAGCUGGAAUCCGCACUGGAGCAGGUAGUGCACCUCGCCGUUCAGGAAAUCACCAAGACUGCUGGGGCCACUUUGAAUUCAAUGUUACUGGAAACGUCCACCAAAGAGCAGGAAAAUCUGCGUUUGAGGGCGACCCUUCAGUCCCGGGAGCUGAAGUACGUAGGCAAAGGGAAAGGCAAUGCCUCUAAGGGACGAAAAGGCACGAGCGAUGGAACAAAGCAACGCACCCCCAGUCUGAGCACUGAAUGUCGCGUGCAGUCUGAGACGCUCAGGCGUGAACAGAAAGGGCGAGCAGUUGGUCAGUUAAAAGCUGUUAUGGAACACGUGCUGGAAAUCGCUGUUUGUGAGCUGACCAAAAUUGUGGAAGAUAGCUUUGACGACUUGCUCGUGGAGUUCACCAAGAAAGAGCGGGAAAACCAGAUACUGAAAGAGCAGCUACAGGACGAGAACAAAUUGGAGGACAAUGAGGUGGUUGCUGCGGAAACGGAAGACUGUGAAAACGACUCUGACUCUCCGAGCAGUUCCAAAGUGGAAAGGCAAGAGUCACAAGGCGUGCCGGACCAAUCAUCACCCCAAGAAGCAUGGGGAAAGGAACAGAUGGAAACUACCAAUGAAGCAGACAAGCAGACUGUCAUUGCAGUGGCCCAGGACUGGGUACCCAUACUAGAUAAAGUCUUUGGGCAAAAGUGGUGCAGCGACCUCUUUCAGAUCAAAGAGGUCACGACCAGUGAGGAGGAAUCCACUGGGCUUGGUUCAGGGCCGAUGAGCGACAUGAACAGUUUAAUUCGGGAGACUCUCAUGCCAUCUUGCCUGGCCUCUCAGAGGAAGCUGGAGCUUGAGGUGGGGCAGCUGCCAUGGUUGCAGGCAGAAGAUAUGGAGGUUGUUUCUCUCUCCUCGGACACAAAAGGGAUUCCUGUUGUCAGUUUCACAGGCGAUGAUUCUCUAAUCAGAUCUCCAUCGAUGUUGCAAAGACUCUUGACUCUCCCAUCCCAGUUGCUUGAGGAUGAUGAGGAGUCCAUGGAUGGUACUCCCAGUCUGGAAGUGUCCCUGGAUCCGUCAGAUUCACAAGUCAGCAAAGGACCAAAGAGUGAUCAGAUCCCAGCAAAUGAGAAUAAAGAACAGAAGAACCUGGAAGAGGAGGAUGAUGAAGACGAGACAAGUGCUCAUGAAUUGGAUGGCCGCGAAUCCUCAAAACACAAAGGUAGGAGGAAGUCCCAUGCUUGCGCAGAGUGUGGCAGCAAGUUCAGCCGUGUGCAUCUUCUCAAAGCCCACCAGCAAACCCAUGAGGAGAUGCCCAAUCAAUGUCCACAGUGUGGAAAGAGAUUUUCCCAGUCGUCAAAGCUCCAAGCGCACUUACAAAUGCACACAGGCAAAACUAUAUGAAGAAAUGUAGAUGAGAGGGGAACAAAUUCAAAAGGGAAAUUAUGAAUGGAACAGUGAUGGAUAGAUGUUUCCCAGUAUUUGUUGUUUAUAUAAGUGGUUCAGCUAAAUCAUGAGCAGAAUUCAAUUCAGGUCUGUCAGAUUUGCUUCGAUUUCAGAAUUUGAUGGUUUAAGGCUUUCAACUUGAUUCAUGAAGCUUUGAAAUUAAUAAAAAUUUCCGAUGAAGGAAAUCUACUUCACAUUGUAGCCCUCUUUCUCAUUUGAAGGUACUCUUAGGGAAAAUAAAAAAUUAUUUGUUAUCCUUCAACUUUUAUUGAAAUAAAUGCCAAUAACUACAAGCUGUGUAUAUCCAAAUUGGGUACAUAGACCAUCACAAUAAGAAGUUCUUUGGGCAACUAAUUUCACAAUACAAAUUUUAAAAGGUUUUAAAACUUUGUAAAUAUUUAAAAGCGAUGCAUAAAACUGAAUGUGAAUUUCAUCAAUCUAGUCAGUGACUGUCGCUAAGACAUCCUAAAGGGAAAGAUAAAAGAGUGAGCAGCAAAUAGUAGACAAUGCCUGAACUCAUUGUGGGUCCCUUGCCUCAUGUUGGUCUUAUAUUUCUUUCUACAAAUCUUCUGAAUAAGAUAAAAAUAAACCAGAGAUUAUAGAAUAUUUCUUCCACUAUCAAAUCUACCAUUUCUGACGGUCUUCACUGACGUAGAACUCAACAUGAAAUACCUCUUCAAAAAUAUUCUUACAGAUGUCAUAUUGGAUUCUUUUUGAUAAUUAAGAUGUCAAUCCAACAAGAUGUUACAGGGUGGCUUACAUCUUUUGACUUGAACUUUAACACCGUAAACAUGAAUCAUUGUACGAUGUAAACCGCAAGGGAGAAAUCUUAAUGUGGCAUGGAGAGUGUGGAUGAACAGUUACAGAAGGAGGACACCUUAAUUGUUGUGACUGAAGUUAUGACCAUGUCAUGAGAACUUUACAUUGGAAUGGUUAUUGGAAAGAAACUUCUAAAUGAUUGCACCCGACUUGUGUGCCCUUCAGUUUCAUUGACUUGAAAAUGGGGGUUGAUGAUGGGGGAUUGGAGAUCACAUACUUUUUCUAGGUUCCCCAUCAGUAUUCUCUUCUAGAGUAGGGUCUUCCUAUUGUGUAGUGUAUGAGUGUAAAUACAAGGCUAUAUCUUGAACUUAAUGUUAAGCAGAAAUGUUAAGUUUCCUCUUGUGAAGAUAUGGGAUUCUCAGUAUCAGUGGUUCAAAAUAUACUGUAUGUGGAAAUCCACUUGAAUAUAUGGAGUCUUCCUCAGGGAAGGCACUGUUGUCUUUUUCCACAGCUGUAGAUGGACCCUACACAUUUGAUUUACGCCCUGCAUCAAAGGGAGUCCCACAUUACACACAUUCCCACUUACUGACUCGUAAAGUCACCAAAGUUUUCUGUCAAUAAUAAGCAUGAUUGAAAAGUACAUGGUUACAGUUACUUUUUGGAUCAAUACCUCAUCGCUGGGACCGCGUCAUAUUUUUGGACUUCUGCAAUAUCAGGAGUAAGGUCCUGGUCAGAAACGUUUACAAUAAUGAAUUUCAGAAUGGAAUAGGUCUGGCGUAUCUGUUUGCCCACUUAUUCUUCAAUUUUGCAUUUUUAUUGUUAUAUAAAUGUGGAUUCUUUUGUUUUAAACUACCUGUUUGGUACCUGAAGGUACCAAGAGUUUGUGACCCAAAGAUAAAAAUGAAAGGAAACCUUUUUAGACCACACAUACUCUUACAGAAUGCAGUUUUUUGUUUUUGUGUUAUGGGCCAAUUUAAAUGAACCCUAAACCCAAACUGCUGUCCAAAUGUAUUGAGUAUUGAGGUAUAAUGAAUAUGGAAAACAGAACAUACACUGUAAUUUUGUUAAGUGCAUCAUCUGUUGCUAGUGCCUAGAAUUAACUGUUUAAUAAGCUUAUCUUUUAAAUGGUUGGCUUGGGAAUUCGUUGUUUAGCAUGCUUAAGGCUAGGGUACUCUUGGUUUUUCCACAUGCCAUUCUGUCUCGCAUACUCAAGCCCAAAGUAUACUACUAUUUUAACAUAUGCGUUCAAUCGAAUGGUCUAGUUUUUCAAAGUAAACUUCAUCUGACCUCAACUGACACAAGCAGUCUAUUCAUAGUCACUACGACUGCUAUGUGAUGCUGGACUAUUUCUCUUCUGUAGUUUAGACCAGUAAAGAUUUCUUCUAGUCUUUCGGGUUGAUUUUGGAAUGACAUGCUACAGCCGUGGCCAAAAGUAUUGACUGACAUAAAUUUUGUGUUUCGCAAAGUUUUCUGCUUCAGUUGUUGUGGUGUUGAUUCACAUUGUUUCUAGAUUAUUGUGCAGAGUGAAAAUACGCAUUUUAAAUAAUUGCGAAAAGCUUCAUUGGCCAAAAGUGAACUUUAUCACAAAAACCCAAAUGUUUUUUGGUCCUGGCACAAAAUGACCAGCCAACAUCAUUUCACUAAUAAUAUCAGCAGCACCUGGGAAAGUGUGAACGAUACUAGUCAGGUGAAAUCACUCUAUCAUUCUGAAUGGAUUAUAAGAGCUGACUGAUUGCUAAAAAAGGAGGGAAGAAGUGCUUCCAAUCAUUGUGUUCUUGUUGGCCUCGCAUGCAAGGAAAUUGCUGCAAAGAAUAUUGCACCUGUAAGAACCAUUUACCAGAUCAUCAAGAACUUCAAGGAGAGAGGAUCUGUUGCAGUGAAGAAGGUUUCAGGACGUCCCACUGUGUCCAGCAAGUGCCAGGACCGUCUCCUACUGAGGAUUCAGCUAAGCAAUCGUGUCACCACCAGUGCAGAACAUUCUCAAUAUUGGCAGCAGGUUGGUGUGAGUGCAUCUGCACGCACAAUGAGGCGAAGACUUUUGGACAAUGGCAUGGUGUCAAGAAGGGCAGCAAAGAAGCCACUUCUCUCCAAAAAAACAUCAAGGACCGACUGAAAUUCUGCAGGAAGUACAAGGAUUGGACAGCAGAAGACUGGUGCGAAGUUAAUUUCUCUGAUGAAGCCCCCUUCCAACUGUUUGGGACAUCUGGAACAUUUAUAGUCCAUAGAAAAAAAGGUGAACACUACCAUGAGUCCUGUGUCAUGCCAACAGAGACCAUCCAUGUGUGGGGUUGAUUUUCAUCCAAGGGAGUGGGCCCUCUCACAAUUCUGCCCAAAAACACUGCUAUGAAUAAAGAAUGGUAUCAAAACGUCCUGCAAGAGCAACUUCUCCCAACGAUCCAGGAGCAAUUUGGUGAUGAUCCGUGCAUUUUCCAGCAUGAUGGAUCAUCAUGUCACAAGGCAAGAGUGAUAAUGAAGUGGCUCGAAGAUCAUUACAUUUUAAAUUUUGGAUCCGUGUCCAGGCAACUCCCCGGAUCUUAAUCCCAUAGAGAACCUGUGGUCAAUCCUCAAAAGGCGUGUGGACAAGCAGAAGCCCACAAAUUGUGCUCAACUCCGAGCACUAAUAAGUCAAGAAUGGAUCGCCAUCAGUCAGGAUUUGGCCCAGAAGCUGAUAUCCAGCAUGCCAGAGCGAAUUGCAGAGGUUAUGAAGAACAAGGGUCAACACUGUAAAUAUUGACUCUUUGCAUAAAUUGAAUGUUUUUGUCAAUAAAAGCCUUUAAAA